rnacentral:rRNA from 1 species
GUGGGGAAUCUUGCGCAAUGGGCGAAAGCCUGACGCAGCGACGCCGCGUGCGGGAUGACGGCCUUCGGGUUGUAAACCGCUGUCGGGAGGGACGAAGCUCUGACGGUACCUCCAAAGGAAGCACCGGCUAACUCUGUGCCAGCAGCCGCGGUAAUACAGAGGGUGCGAGCGUUGUCCGGAAUCACUGGGCGUAAAGGGCGCGUAGGCGGCCUGGUAAGUCGGGGGUGAAACGCUGCGGCUCAACCGCAGCACUGCCUUCGAGACUGUCAGGCUUGAGCACGGUAGAGGCUGGUGGAAUUCCCGGUGUAGCGGUGGAAUGCGUAGAGAUCGGGAAGAACAUCGGUGGCGAAGGCGGCCAGCUGGGCCGUUGCUGACGCUGAGGCGCGACAGCGUGGGGAGCAAACAGGAUUAGAAACCCUAGUAGUCC